GACGAACGCUGGCGGCGUGCUUAACACAUGCAAGUCGAACGGAAAGGCCCUGCUUUUGUGGGGUGCUCGAGUGGCGAACGGGUGAGUAACACGUGAGUAACCUGCCCUUGACUUUGGGAUAACUUCAGGAAACUGGGGCUAAUACCGGAUAGGAGCUCCUGCUGCAUGGUGGGGGUUGGAAAGUUUCGGCGGUUGGGGAUGGACUCGCGGCUUAUCAGCUUGUUGGUGGGGUAGUGGCUUACCAAGGCUUUGACGGGUAGCCGGCCUGAGAGGGUGACCGGCCACAUGGGGACUGAGAUACGGCCCAGACGCCUACGGGAGGCAGCAGUGGGGAAUAUUGCACAAUGGGCGGAAGCCUGAUGCAGCAACGCCGCGUGCGGGAUGACGGCCUUCGGGCUGUAAACCGCUUUCGCCUGUGACGAAGCGUGAGUGACGGUAAUGGGUAAAGAAGCACCGGCUAACUACGUG
rnacentral:rRNA from 1 species